rnacentral:rRNA from 1 species
UAUGUGAUCGUCUCUCGCAUAUCAAUAAGCGGAGGAAAAGAAACUAACAAGGAUUCCCCUAGUAACGGCGAGUGAAGCGGGAAGAGCUCAAAUUUGAAAUCUUAAAGGGUUUCCCUUUACGAAUUGUAGUUUAAAGAAGUGUUUUCUGUUGAAGUUUUGGUAAAAGUUCUUUGGAAUAGGACAUCAUAGAGGGUGAGAAUCCCGUAUUUGACCUUUACUUUCAACUUUGUGAUACACUUUCAAAGAGUCGGAUUGUUUGGGAAUGCAGUCCAAAAUGGGUGGUAAAUUUCAUCUAAAGCUAAAUAUUGGCGAGAGACCGAUAGCGAACAAGUACCGUGAGGGAAAGAUGAAAAGAACUUUGAAAAGAGAGUUAAACAGUACGUGAAAUUGUCAAAAGGGAAGCGUUUGACACCAGUGUCGUUUUUCUGAAAAUCAAUUAAAGAACUGUUUAUGCUAAGUUGUUUAGACUUUAUCAGCUAUCUGUUUAGUUUUGAGCUUUUCUUUAAUGCACUUUUCAGUUAACAAGUCGACAUCAAUUUCUUUUGCUGUAAAAAAGCUUGAGGAAGGUGGCUUGAGAUUCGUCUUAAGUGUUUAUAGCCUCUUGCCUAUGCAGUCGGAGAGAUUGAGGUCUGCAGCGUAGAUCCUUCGGGGCUAAAUGCAUUUGUGCUAAGUUAUAGCAUUUCAUAGACAACUUGUUGACUAUGAUUUGUCUUGUAGCUUACUCGCUUAUGUUAUUUUACCUACGCUUAGGAUGUUGACUGAUAUGUAGUCGUA